rnacentral:tRNA from 1 species
CCGUCCUGCCCGGGCGGAACAGGUCGGUUCCGCUUCGGCCGGAACCAGUGGGUCACGCCCGGCCGGGACGGCUCGGCCCCGUCCGGGCGGA